GACGAACGCUGGCGGCGUGCUUAACACAUGCAAGUCGAACGGAAAGGCCCUGCUUUUGUGGGGUGCUCGAGUGGCGAACGGGUGAGUAACACGUGAGUAACCUGCCCUUGACUUUGGGAUAACUUCAGGAAACUGGGGCUCAUACCGGAUAGGAGCUCCUGCUGCAUGGUGGGGGUUGGAAAGUUUCGGCGGUUGGGGAUGGACUCGCGGCUUAUCAGCUUGUUGGUGGGGUAGUGGCUUACCAAGGCUUUGACGGGUAGCCGGCCUGAGAGGGUGACCGGCCACAUUGGGACUGAGAUACGGCCCAGACGCCUACGGGAGGCAGCGGUGGGGAAUAUUGCACAGUGGGCGGAAGCCUGAUGCGGCAACGCCGCGUGCGGGAUGACGGCCUUCGGGUUGUGAACCGCUGUCGCCUGUGACGAGGCGUGAGUGACGGUAAUGGGUAAAGAAGCACCGGCUAACUACGUG
rnacentral:rRNA from 1 species